UGAGAGGCUCGUGGUACCUGGGUGUCACUAGCACGCACGUCCACGUCACAGUACGUACAGCAAAUGAAGGGGGCGGUUCCCGGAUCACGUUGCUGCGCAGACAAGUGGCGAGGAAUAUUUUGUGGCUCGUCUUAUCUUUACCAUAUGUGUUUACCUCUCUUUUCUGUUCCUGCGACCGUGAUUUUCAGUGCGUGGUAGGCUGUAUAGACAAAGUUAUACGAGGACCUGUACAAACAACUGGAUUUCUUAAACCCUGGAUCUGGGAGAAUAUUGGUUGUGAGAAGCCCAAGGAGUCUAAGAAAAUUAACAUAAAUAAGAAGAGGCACUUGCUUGAAAAUAUGAUGAAGAUAAUUGUUUUCCUCUUUCUUUUUAUCGAUACCAGUAGUGCUGCGUACAAACGAUGGCUGCCAGACACCAACUUCGAGAACCCUCACAACUGGAACGUAGGCCGAGCACCGUGCGGUAACGACCGUGUGUUAAUCCCUGACGACAGUCCAGUCGUUUAUAUGCAGAUGAACACCACGCUGCAAGAACUGAUUUUGCCAACAAAUGGAGAGAUAAUUCUAGGGAACAAUGUGCAGCUGGCUUUUACACAGGCCCCUCUGGACUCUGCUGGCUGCCCUGAAGUUGGUGGAGAUGUGGAAUUCACAGCAAUCCACCCACAACAAUGGGUAGAUCCAAACAACUGGUGUACCACUCAGACGGAGUAUGGUGAUGACUGUCUACCUAGUAUGUUACUGGAGACAGAACAAGUUCCUUGUGUCAACGAUGAUGUUGUCUUUCAACGCUAUCACACCUACUACAUAAACCUUGGCAGUGAUCUGAAGCUGACUGUUAAGACACUAAAACUCAUGGGCAAGUCUUUCACAACCAGCACCUUCGCCCAGUUUCAAAAUUCUUCAGAUGGGCAAAAGAUCUUCUCAGUGAAGUCACCAAGUGCAGCAGGUACAACAAUCACAAUAACACGCCAAGGCUGCAAUAACAAUGGGCGAUGUCCAUGCAGAAGUGAAAAUGAUCAGAUAAUAAGUGAAAUAUGUGCAGUCCAAGCCCGUAGAUGUUCAAGGGCUGCCUGCAGUUUACCCAUUAAACCAGUUGGAGCCUGUUGUGAUAUGUGUGGAGCAGUUCUUAAUGGAAAAACAGGUCAAGGUUUCAACUUUGAUGCAUUCAAGAACUUGCUACAACAAAAUUUUUUUAACAAUAAUACGGAUGUUCAGACUGCAGUCUCCCUGACAAGUCCUGGCAAUGUGCAGAUUGUCCUUCAGAGUGAAACUGGCUCCAAGAGCACUAAAUUAGCGCACAUAAUCAAAGCAGAUAUUGAUGCAGAUUUGAAGACUGGUGGUCACAAAUAUGCACUGAACGACAUAAAUUAUGUCGAUUCAGGAACUGAAACAGCAGAUAAAAUGACAGAUGGUCAGGAAGGAAUCCCAAAACUAACAAUUGCAGCCAUUAUCAUCGGCGUACUUCUCCUGAUGACUUUUGUCACAAUUGCUCUACUGGUUUGGAAGUGUGGAAGAUCCAGGAUACUUCAAGGGAUCCAUUUAAGAAGACACCUGCACCUGAAUUUAGGUCGUAAGAGAGAACCACCAUCAGGUGCAGCCACUCCUCCACAUACUGUUGGGUCACUAGAUCCUGGUUUUGCUAAUCCCUUGUAUGAUUCAUCACCAUUUGAGAAAAAUGUAAGUGCCAAGUGAGAUGGAAUUAAGGAGUCCCAAGGAAGAGCAGCCAACAUUUGAUGCUGGUGACAGUGCCAGUGGCUUCAACAAUCCACUCUACGGAGCAGGAAGCUUCUUUGCUGACCCUGCUGCAAUUCCAGAG
rnacentral:misc_RNA from 1 species